rnacentral:rRNA from 1 species
AAUGAACGCUGGCGGCAGGCCUAAAACAUGCAAGUCGAACGCCCUAGCAAUAGGGAGUGGCGCACGGGUGAGUAACAUGUGGGAAUAUGCCUUUUGGUACGGAACAACGUUUGGAAACGAACGCUAAUACCGUAUAGUCCCUUCGGGGUAAAGAUUUAUCGCCAAAAGAUUAGCCCGCACUGGAUUAGCUAGUUGGUAAGGUAAUGGCUUACCAAGGCGACGAUCCAUAGCUGGUCUGAGAGGACGAUCAGCCACACUGGGACUGAGACACGGCCCAGACUCCUACGGGAGGCAGCAGUUAGGAAUAUUGGACAAUGGGCGCAAGCCUGAUCCAGCCAUGCCGCGUGAGUGAUGAAGGCCUUCGGGUUGGUAAAACUACUUUAAGUCCGAUGAAUAUAA